rnacentral:rRNA from 1 species
AUCAUUACACAAUAACCAGGCGGGCUGGACACCCCCCGCUGGGCACUGCUUCACGGCGUGCGCGGCGGGGCCGGCCCUGCUGAAUUAUUCACCCGUGUCUUUUGCGUACUUCUUGUUUCCUGGGUGGGCUCGCCCGCCCUCAGGACCAACCACAAACCUUUUGCAAUAGCAAUCAGCGUCAGUAACAACGUAAUUAAUUACAACUUUCAACAACGGAUCUCUUGGUUCUGGCAUCGAUGAAGAACGCAGCGAAAUGCGAUACGUAGUGUGAAUUGCAGAAUUCAGUGAAUCAUCGAAUCUUUGAACGCACAUUGCGCCCUUUGGUAUUCCAAAGGGCAUGCCUGUUCGAGCGUCAUUUGUACCCUCAAGCUUUGCUUGGUGUUGGGCGUCUUUUGUCUCCAGUUCGCUGGAGACUCGCCUUAAAGUCAUUGGCAGCCGGCCUACUGGUUUCGGAGCGCAGCACAAGUCGCGCUCUUCGCCCAGCCAAGGUCAGCGUCCAGCAAGCCUUUUUUUCAACCUUUGA